GAAAAACUCCAUAAACCCCAAAAUUCAUGAAUUAUCAUCUUCCCUUAGCUCGAUUGAUUCUUCACAAAGGCUCUUCCAAUCUCCUUUCCCCUCUGCAACUCUUUCAGCUCCACUCUCUAGCAAUAACCACAGGCCUCCAACUCCAGCAUCCCUCGAUUCUCCUCUCUCUCUUCAAGCUCUAUCUCACUAACCAGUCAACUCUCACUCACGCAGAGACACUUUUCCCCAGAGUUCAACAACCAUAUAAAUGGAAUCUCAUGAUCAGACACGCAUCAGCUACCCGCCCUUUAAAGGCUCUAUCUUUGUUUCAAAAAAUGCGUAUUGAUGAACCAAGCACCCCUUUUUACAACGACCCUUUUGUUUAUGCUUCUCUAAUUAAAGCUUGCGGUAAAGCUAGGGCUUUUCGUGAAGGUAAAUCGAUACAUUGCCGGAUGAUUACGCUUGGAUUGGAUUACAAUGUGAAUCUGUCGAAUAGUCUCGUUAGCUUUUAUUCAGGGUCGGCGAAUUUGAUGAGCUACGCUGAUGUGUUGUUUGAUUCGGUUUCGGAGAAAAAUGUGGUUGUUGUUAAUGGCUUGAUAUCUGGGAAUGUUAGGAGAGGGAAUUUUGAUGUGGGAUUGAGACUGUUUGUUGAGAUGCUGCGUGGUUGUUUCGGUUUAAAUGUGAAGCCUAAUUGUGUUUCUUUCGUGAUUUUGAUAUCCGGUUGUGUUGAAUUUGGGGAAUUUAGAGAGGGGAAGGCGCUUCAUUGUUGUAGUUGGAAGAUAGGAUUGGGAUGGAGUGUUGAAAUGUGCAAUGUGCUUAUUGAUUUUUAUGCUAAAUUAGGGCACAUUGGUGAUGCUUCAAAUGUGUUUGUGGAAAUGCCGGAGAGAGACUUGAUUUCGUGGAACUCGAUAAUUUGGGGGCAUGUUAAGAGUGGAGAGUAUGUGAAAGCAUUUUCCUUGUUUAGAGAAAUGAGGAGAGAAGGGAUUGGAGUUGAUAGAGCGUCGUUUAGUUGCUUGUUGUCUGCAUGUGCUGCUCGUACAGAUCUUUGGUUGGGGAGGAUGGUUCAUGCUCGUGUAAAAGCUAUUGGGAUGGAGUGCGAUGUCUCUGUAGGGACGGCUUUGAUCAACAUGUAUGCAAAGUGUGGAAAGUUGAACUCUGCAAGGAAACUUUUCGAUGAACUACCAAAGCAAGAGAUUGAGUAUUGGAAUGCAAUGAUACAUUCUUAUAUUGAUGCUGGACUUGCUAAGGAGGCUUUGAAGCAACUUGAUGAGAUCAAGUUUAGGCAUUUACGACUAGAUGAAGUGACCGUUUUGGGAUUGAUUAUGGCUUGUCGUGAUGCAGGGGAUCUGCAUCGCGGUAGGCUUAUGCAUUCUAUUGUGGAAAACGAUGAUUUGUUCAAAGGAAGCGUGGUUUUAGGGAAUGCUCUUGUAGACAUGUAUGCAAAAUGUGGGAGCACUACGAGAGCUAGGUCGGUCUUUGAUAGGAUGCCCCGGAGAGAUGUGAUUUCGUGGACAUCUAUGAUAGUAGGCCAUGCUGUUAAUGGUGAAGGAGAAGAGUCUCUUGCUACUUUUCAGCAAAUGUGUGCGGAAAAAUUAGUUCCGAAUUCUGUGACCUUCUUAGGAGUUCUAUCAGCAUGUGAUCAUGCUGGUUUGAUUGAUGAAGGGAUGAGAUUAUACAAUAUGAUGAGUGAAGAUUACCAUAUCAAGCCACGGAUCGAGCACCAUGGCUGCGUGGUCGACAUGCUUGCUAGAGCUGGCAAAAUCGGAGAUGCUCAAAUGUUUAUUCAGAAGAUGGACACAAAGCCUAAUGCACUUGUUUGGAGGAUGUUGCUGAACGCGUGUAGGGUUCAUGGCCACAUCGAUCUAGGGUUGAGCUUCGUUACUGGCUUAACAGAACUGGAUACGCCUCCUGAAGCAGCCAAUUUUGUGAUCUCGUCUAAUGUAUACGCGGAAGCUGGAAGAUGGAACGAUGUUGCUGCUCGUAGAAACACAAUGGUUGUUGAGAGAGCUUCCAAAGAAGCAGGAAAGAGCUGUGUUUCUUAGCCGACAGAGUGAUGUGGAACUGAUUAUUCUAAAAUGGGUUCCAAAUUUUGUAGGCAUAAUCUUUUUACACAUUUUGAGAACAUGAACAUGCUGAUGCUGCAAUAGUAGUUGUUCGGGAUUUUUGAAGCCAGAGGCCGUUGCACCGACCUGGGCUGGCCCCCUUCCUAUUGUGUUAUGUAAAGAUUCCAAUACGGAAACCAGGUAUAGACUAGCUCCUACACCUUCAAUAUCUUGAAAACUUAUACGAAAUAUUUCUAUUUUGAGGGCAUUAUUUGUCAACGGUACGUAGUUAUAC